rnacentral:rRNA from 1 species
CCUACGGGACGCACCAGUAGGGAAUCUUCGGCAAUGGACGAAAGUCUGACGGAGCGACGCCGCGUGAGCGAAGAAGGUCUUCGGAUCGUAAAGCUCUGUUGUUAGGGACGAAGAAGUACCGUUCGAAUAGGGCGGUACGGUGACGGUACCUAACGAGAAAGCCCCGGCUAACUACGUGCCAGCAGCCGCGGUAAUACGUAGGGGGCGAGCGUUGUCCGGAAUUAUUGGGCGUAAAGCGCGCGCAGGCGGUCCCUUAAGUCUGAUGUGAAAGCCCACGGCUCAACCGUGGAGGGUCAUUGGAAACUGGGGGACUUGAGUGCAG